rnacentral:rRNA from 1 species
CCUACGGGGGGCUGCAGUGGGGAAUAUUGGACAAUGGGGGGAACCCUGAUCCAGCCAUGCCGCGUGUGUGAAGAAGGCCCUCGGGUUGUAAAGCACUUUCAGUGAGGAAGAACGCCUGGUGGUUAAUACCCAUCAGGAAAGACAUCACUCACAGAAGAAGCACCGGCUAACUCCGUGCCAGCAGCCGCGGUAAUACGGAGGGUGCGAGCGUUAAUCGGAAUUACUGGGCGUAAAGCGCGCGUAGGUGGCUUGAUAAGCCGGUUGUGAAAGUCCCGGGCUCAACCUGGGAACGGCAUCCGGAACUGUCAAGCUAGAGUGCAGGAGAGGAAGGUAGAAUUCCCGGUGUAGCGGUGAAAUGCGUAGAGAUCGGGAGGAAUACCAGUGGCGAAGGCGGCCUUCUGGACUGACACUGACACUGAGGUGCGAAAGCGUGGGUAGCAAACAGGAUUAGAUACCCGUGUAGUC